AUACCCCUCUCCAGCCGUUUCCUCUCAUUUACUCUCCCUCAAGCUCCCCUUUGCAACCUAAACUCUCAAGUAAAAAAAACAAACCCCCAUCGGGACCUUCUAUACCACUUGCACAAAUCAUAUAUCGAAGGUUUAGAGCGGUUACCUUGAGCAAUUGGUUAUGGUUCUGACUCCAAGCGACGAGGAAGGACUUCACGUGGACUGGACUGGAAUUAACAAUACUGUUUUGGGCUGAUUUGGGCUACCAUUGGUCCAAAUUUAUAUCGUGUACUGGAUACGAAGCUUCCGGACAAAAACAAGCAUCUAUAGGACUCUUAUGCAUUGGCUUUCUCAAACGUUCAUGCCAAGAAAAGGAAAUUACAAGGGAACAAGCAGUUAAGGAUCUGGAGGAGGGGGAUGAGAGAAUGAAGCAUGGGACAUGUUGAUCCUGUUGUGUAUUAUGUUUUCCUGUAGAGAGGUAGGCAAGGGAGCUCACACCAAAACAAUUGUUCAACUUGAAGAUGCUUCCUUGUCUGAUGCUUUCUUCAAGUAGGAGACUAGGAAUAACAUUUCGUGUAAGAUUCUGUUGGAUUGAAUAUCAAAUAAUUUGCGCACAUUUCUGAUUUAGAACCUUCAUU